GACGAACGCUGGCGGCGUGCUUAACACAUGCAAGUCGAGCGGUAAGGCCCCUUCGGGGGUACACGAGCGGCGAACGGGUGAGUAACACGUGAGCAACCUACCCUCAACUUCGGGAUAAGCCUCGGAAACGGGGUCUAAUACCGGAUAUCACUUUCCACCUCAUGGUGGGGGGUUGAAAGUUCUGGCGGCUGGGGAUGGGCUCGCGGCCUAUCAGCUUGUUGGUGGGGUAAUGGCCUACCAAGGCGUCGACGGGUAGCCGGCCUGAGAGGGCGACCGGCCACACUGGGACUGAGACACGGCCAGACUCCUACGGGAGGCAGCAGUGGGGAAUAUUGCGCAAUGGACGAAAGUCUGACGCAGCAACGCCGCGUGAGGGAUGACGGCC
rnacentral:rRNA from 1 species